CCUACGGGUGGCUGCAGUGGGGAAUAUUGGACAAUGGGGGGAACCCUGAUCCAGCCAUGCCGCGUGUGUGAAGAAGGCCCUCGGGUUGUAAAGCACUUUCAGUGAGGAAGAACGCCUGGUGGUUAAUACCCAUCAGGAAAGACAUCACUCACAGAAGAAGCACCGGCUAACUCCGUGCCAGCAGCCGCGGUAAUACGGAGGGUGCGAGCGUUAAUCGGAAUUACUGGGCGUAAAGCGCGCGUAGGUGGCUUGAUAAGCCGGUUGUGAAAGCCCCGGGCUCAACCUGGGAACGGCAUCCGGAACUGUCAAGCUAGAGUGCAGGAGAGGAAGGUAGAAUUCCCGGUGUAGCGGUGAAAUGCGUAGAGAUCGGGAGGAAUACCAGUGGCGAAGGCGGCCUUCUGGACUGACACUGACACUGAGGAGCGAAAGCGUGGGUAGCAAACAGGAUUAGAUACCCGAGUAGUC
rnacentral:rRNA from 1 species